rnacentral:tRNA from 1 species
GCCUCCAUAGCUCAGGGGAUAGAGCACCGCUCUCCUAAAGCGGGUGUCGCAGGUUCAAAUCCUGCUGGGGGCACCG